rnacentral:lncRNA from 1 species
AUAAUUAUAAUUGUUAUGUUACAUUAUUGUAUGCCACAGAGGUAACAAAUUUCCUUGUCAAAGUGCCUUUGACUAUAGCUGCCCUAAAACUUUUUGCCAUCCAUGGACAAUUGUUAUCUUGGUUUGAUCGGUUUUAUAAUCAGCUAUAAAAUGCUAACAGGUGCUUUUUAAUGCAGGUUUCUGAUAACUUUGGAGAUUGUGACAUCAGGAUAAAAGAAAACUUUCAGGACUCAUGGAGAGCUGAAAUGUUCAUGAAUGUCAAAUAGAACAGGAAUUAACUGCAUGGACUAAACUAACAGAAGUCCAAAGUAAUCUUUUUAACUUUUUACUUAAAACAUUGGUGAUACUUUGUUUUGUUUUUCAGAGCCGAGAAAACUUUUAUUUUAACCUAUUUACAGCUUUUAAUGAAUGAGUAUACUCCUAUGAACAACAUUUGGAUCAUAUUUGUUUCUCUCUGAUUUCCACAGAAUUUGGAAACUAUUUGAAUCAAACUGACUUAUGGAGCCAAUCAAAGCCCCUUGGAAAAACUGGCCUCAUACCUUUGUCUACAGAGUUCCUGACCUGUGAUGGAGUCUCGCACUGUCACUGCAAUGGCG